ACAGCGAGACGGGCGGUGGGGCGGAGCCGAGGCCCAGGAACGGAGGUGGAGGAGCAGACCCGGGCGACGCGGCCCGCGAGCGAGAGGGUCGUCCGGGUCAGUCCAGCGCAACUCGGGUCACCAGUCCCAGGGCCCUGGUCCCCUUAUUGGAUCUAUGUCUGGGUUUGCUGAAGCACCCGCUGGGCCCAGGACUGCAGAGACGCCCCUACCCAGGCUGUGCCCCGGGUGGAGGGGGACAGGGGGAACGGCUUCAUCGCGGGGUUCGGGGCAGGACAGCUCAGGACCUGCGGAGAUACUGGAUGGUGUAGGAUCCCAGGCCAAAGGUGGCGCACCCUGAGAUCAGCAGCCCAGCUCCCUGCAGCCUUGAGGAGGGCGCUGCCUGCGUCUUUGGGAGCCUCAGCUUCCCCUCCGGUUCCGGGCCUUGGAGUGCUGGUCUGCAGCUGCGGCCUGGCUCUGUGCCCGGCCUGACCCUCGUUCACACUGCACACCCCUGGAGGCAGGACAGAAAGUGUGCACAGCGAAGACCCUGACACCCUACUGGUUGAUGAUCCAAAUCCCGAGGUCCCUCUCAGAGUCCGGUGAGAUCCAGAGCCAGCUAGAGGAAGAAAGUGGCCGCGUCAGCUCCUGAAAGGCCGUCUGGGUGAGGUUGAAAGGAAAAGCCAACAGGAGUUCCCAUCGUGGGGCUUCGGAAACAAUCUGACCAGGAACCAUGAGGUUGCGGUUUCCAUCCCUGGCCUGGCUCAGUGGAUUAAGGAUCCGGUGUCUCUGUGGCUAUGGUGUAGGCCGGCAGCCGUAGCUCCCAUUCGACCAGUAGGCUCUCGGGUCCACCUCCUCUCCCCGUGGUCCUGUGCUGCCUCUUCCUACCCUGCUCCUCAGCAGCUCAGUGCAACUCUCCUGUCCCCCGCAUCCUCCCUGGUCGCACGCAGAGAGCAUCUGUGCAAAGACAACAGACGCGGCCACCCAGACCCUUUAGCUCACAGAGGAUGCCCUGAACGGACUCCCAGGGAGCCUACAGAAGACCACGGACUUGAGAAGGCACUGUGAACUGCUUGGUAGCAUCUGCAAGAUGGGGUUUGGUUUCAGGUCUGUGUCCUGCCCGCCACCCUCAGGCCCCGGUGGGCUCAGGAGGGCCUUGGGCACAGCCCGAGGGGCCUCGACCCUCAUACAGUGCAGAGCAAAGUCAGAGAUGGGUGGAGGCAGCUGCUGCUCCGGGUGGGAGCUGAUGACAUCCCGCCUGUCGUGUAGACAUUUGAGUUAACUGGCCCUGGGGUUGCCAAUAAUCUCAGUCAGGUCGAAGCCUCCACUCGGAGACGUUUGGGGCAGAAACCUGCUGAUUUACCCCUUGUUUUAACUCUUGGGGAACAAGGGGAUUGCUGACCGCUCCCACUGGCAGGGAGCAGGGAGUGGAAAGAGAACAGCCCUCGAGGGAGAGGCCAAGGAGCCCGUCUGCUCUGGCUCUGCACCGUCCAGCACAGUGGCCUCAGCCUGUCCCAACUGCGAUGUGCGAAUGUGCACAAGAAACACCUGAUUUCAAAGACGUUGAAAAAAAUGCCAAAUAUCUUUCUAAUAAUUUUAUAUUGAUUGCCUCUGGAAAUUAUGUUUUAGAUGUGUUAAGGUAAAUAAAAUAUAUUAUUAAAUUU
rnacentral:lncRNA from 1 species